rnacentral:rRNA from 1 species
GGCUCAGAACGAACGCCGGCGGCGCGCCUAAUACAUGCAAGUCGAGCGAGGAGGUGUAGCAAUACACUUGUAAAGCGGCGAACGGGUGAGGAAUACAUGGGUAAUCUACCAUCGAGUGGGGAAUAACCAACCGAAAGGUUGGCUAAUACCGCGUACGCCUCCGAGUCUUCGGGUUCGGAGGGAAAGCCACACUGUGAGUGCGGCGCUCUUUGAUGAGCUCAUGUCCUAUCAGCUUGUUGGUAGGGUAACGGCCUACCAAGGCUUUGACGGGUAGCUGGUCUGAGAGGACGAUCAGCCACACUGGCACUGCGACACGGGCCAGACUCCUACGGGAGGCAGCAGUAAGGAAUAUUGCGCAAUGGGCGAAAGCCUGACGCAGCGACGCCGCGUGGGGGAUGAAGGUCUUCGGAUUGUAAACCCCUUUCGGGAGGGAAGAUGGAGCGAGCAAUCGUUCGGACGGUACCUCCAGAAGCAGCCACGGCCAACUUCGUGCCAGCAGCCGCGGUAAUACGAAGGUGGCAAGCGUUGUUCGGAUUCACUGGGCGUACGGGGUGUGUAGGCGGUUUGGUAAGCCUUCUGUUAAAGCUUCGGGCCCAACCCGGAAAGCGCAGAGGGUACUGCCAGGCUAGAGGGUGGGAGAGGAGCGCGGAAUUCCCGGUGUAGCGGUGAAAUGCGUAGAGA